UACGGGGGGGGCAAGCGUUGUUCGGAAUUACUGGGCGUAAAGGGCUCGUAGGCGGCCAACUAAGUCAGACGUGAAAUCCCUCGGCUUAACCGAGGAACUGCGUCUGAUACUGGAUGGCUUGAAUCCGGGAGAGGGAUGUGGAAUUCCAGGUGUAGCGGUGAAAUGCGUAGAUAUCUGGAGGAACACCGGUGGCGAAGGCGGCAUCCUGGACCGGCAUUGACGCUGAGGAGCGAAAGCCAGGGGAGCGAACAGG
rnacentral:rRNA from 1 species